UCGGAAACCGAAUGUCUGGUAUACAAGUUGUUCACAGAGAUCAGAAGAUGGAAAAAAAGCACACGUAAUAAUAUUAAAAUUAAAUUUAUAUUACAUAAUUUAAAAUAAUAGAUUAUCUAUUAUUUGUAUACAGAUAGGCUAAUAAACGUACUUCUAUAAUAAUAGUAAUAAAAAAUACAUAUUUUAUUUUAAUUUUACGAAAAUAAACGAAUUUUGUACAUUAUUUUAUAUACAUGAAAUAUAUAACAACGGAAGAGGGGGGAAGAAUGGAUAUCAUAAUACGUUCAGAGCUAUAUUUUCCG